AAUCCUGCUCAGAUUGAACGCUGGCGGCAGGCCUAACACAUGCAAGUCGAACGGUAACAGAAAGCAGCUUGCUGCUUUGCUGACGAGUGGCGGACGGGUGAGUAAUGUCUGGGAAACUGCCUGAUGGAGGGGGAUAACUACUGGAAACGGUAGCUAAUACCGCAUAACGUCGCAAGACCAAAGAGGGGGACCUUCGGGCCUCUUGCCAUCGGAUGUGCCCAGAUGGGAUUAGCUUGUUGGG
rnacentral:rRNA from 1 species